GGACCAUCAUGUUGGUCGUGCCUCGGUACGUACUGGCAUUGUUGGUUUCUCCCUUCUGACGAAUCAUGAUGUCAUUAAUUUGGUGUCGUGGAGAAUCAGGACUGUUACUUUGAAAAAAUUAGAGUGUUUAAAGCAGGCAUUAGCUUGAAUACAUUAGCAUGGAAUAAUGAAAUAGGACGUUUGAUCUUAUUUUGUUGGUUUCUAGGAUCGACGUA
rnacentral:rRNA from 1 species